rnacentral:rRNA from 1 species
GCAGUCGAGCGGUAGAGAGAAGCUUGCUUCUCUUGAGAGCGGCGGACGGGUGAGUAAUGCCUAGGAAUCUGCCUGGUAGUGGGGGAUAACGUCCGGAAACGGACGCUAAUACCGCAUACGUCCUACGGGAGAAAGCAGGGGACCUUCGGGCCUUGCGCUAUCAGAUGAGCCUAGGUCGGAUUAGCUAGUUGGUGGGGUAAUGGCUCACCAAGGCGACGAUCCGUAACUGGUCUGAGAGGAUGAUCAGUCACACUGGAACUGAGACACGGUCCAGACUCCUACGGGAGGCAGCAGUGGGGAAUAUUGGACAAUGGGCGAAAGCCUGAUCCAGCCAUGCCGCGUGUGUGAAGAAGGUCUUCGGAUUGUAAAGCACUUUAAGUUGGGAGGAAGGGCAGUAAAUUAAUACUUUGCUGUUUUGACGUUACCGACAGAAUAAGCACCGGCUAACUCUGUGCCAGCAGCCGCGGUAAUACAGAGGGUGCAAGCGUUAAUCGGAAUUACUGGGCGUAAAGCGCGCGUAGGUGGUUCGUUAAGUUGGAUGUGAAAUCCCCGGGCUCAACCUGGGAACUGCAUUCAAAACUGACGAGCUAGAGUAUGGUAGAGGGUGGUGGAAUUUCCUGUGUAGCGGUGAAAUGCGUAGAUAUAGGAAGGAACACCAGUGGCGAAGGCGACCACCUGGACUGAUACUGACACUGA